rnacentral:lncRNA from 10 species
UCAUAGAGAAGAAAGGAUACCUGCCUGCAUAGGUUUUCAUUGCAAACGAAGGUGGCCUAUCUGAUUCUCAUUUCUGCACAGUGGAAUGUGGCAGCAGCCCCUACCGGUGACUGAGUUCUCAUCAUAAUGGCAGAAAACACGGUUUUGAAAGCUGAUAUCUUUAAAGGCAGGUGUGACCCAGCAGCCUACGCUGCAACAAUCACUUUUAUUUCUUACACUGCUCGUGGGCUCAGUCUGACCGGUAACUUGCACCAAUAGUACAAGCCAGAAUGCCAACCUGCCCACUUCCAUCUCACACCAACCUUGAUGUUCUAUUGGGUACUGAAACCAAAAAUCGAAGUUUAGCUGAAAAACACACAUCUACUAUGUUGAGCAUCUACUGUGUGGAGCGAUUCUAGCAUUCUUGAUUUGUUUUGUUUUAUUGCUGCUGUCAUUUUGUUUUGCGUUUUAGUGGACAGACCUCUCCUUUGAGGCAUCUUUUACUUCUUCUCUGGUGGAAGCCAAAACCAUCGGUCUUUCACGUGCCUUUCUAAUUGUUUUUAACCCACUGUGAUCUAACCCAGUGGCUGACAGAGAAGGAGCUGGAGGAGAUAUGAAUUGCUGACUGAGUCUCCAACAGGUUGGAGUCUAGGAGAGAGGGAGACUUGGGCUUUAGUGUAGACCAUUGUUGAAUUGUGGGGUAAUCUUUGAAGCCAUGCCCAGAUUCUAUACAAUGGUGCAUUUUAAAGAUAGGAAAAACAAAUAUGGAAGAAAUGAAUAAACCAAAAGAGAUAGUAUCAGUGCCCUGGGGCUUGAUUAAAACAACAAUAGGACAAGCAGAAACUCUGGUAACUCCCAGACUGGGAAGCCAGUUAGGGAUUUGAGGGCUGUUUUUGCAUGUCUUUUAAUUUAGCGUGACAUACUAAAAGAAUCUUAGAGUAUUUUGGUUCAUUUUUCCUGUCCUUAAUUCUCUUUUAUUGGUUUCUGCUUCGACGUUACCUUUUAGUUCGGUUUUGUUUGAUGAGAAAUGGUUUUGGAAUUUUGACUCAAAAAUGGA